AAUAGAUACCCGGGUAGUCCACGCCGUAAACGAUGAGUGCUAAGUGUUAGAGGGUUUCCGCCCUUUAGUGCUGCAGCUAACGCAUUAAGCAUUCCGCCUGGGGAGUACGGCCGCAAGGCUGAAACUCAAAGGAAUUGACGGGGGGCCCGCACAAGCGGUGGAGCAUGUGGUUUAAUUCGAAGCAACGCGAAGAACCUUACCAGGUCUUGACAUCCUCUGACAACCCUAGAGAUAGGGCUUUCCCCCUUCGGGGGACAGAGUGACAGGUGGUGCAUGGUUGUCGUCAGCUCGUGUCGUGAGAUGUUGGGUUAAGUCCCGCAACGAGCGCAACCCUUGAUCUUAGUUGCCAGCAUUCAGUUGGGCACUCUAAGGUGACUGCCGGUGACAAACCGGAGGAAGGUGGGGAUGACGUCAAAUCAUCAUGCCCCUUAUGACCUGGGCUACACACGUGCUACAAUGGAUGGUACAAAGGGCUGCAAACCUGCGAGGGUAAGCGAAUCCCAUAAAGCCAUUCUCAGUUCGGAUUGCAGG
rnacentral:rRNA from 1 species